AGAGUUUGAUCCUGGCUCAGAACAAACGCUGGCGGCGUGCUUAACACAUGCAAGUCGUACGAGAAAAUUGGCUUCGGCCGAUAAGUAAAGUGGCGCACGGGUGAGUAACGCGUGGAUAAUCUACCCUUUAGCUGGGAAUAACUCACCGAAAGGUGGGCUAAUACCUGAUAAUACUGUUUCUGCUGCGGCAGAGCAGUCAAAGAUAGCCUCUGUAUACAAGCCUUCACUAAAGGAUGAGUCCGCGUACCAUUAGCUAGUUGGUAGGGUAAUGGCCUACCAAGGCGACGAUGGUUAGCUGGUCUGAGAGGAUGAUCAGCCACACUGGAACUGAGAUACGGUCCAGACUCCUACGGGAGGCAGCAGUGAGGAAUCUUGCGCAAUGGGGGAAACCCUGACGCAGCAACGCCGCGUGAGUGAGGAAGGCCUUCGGGUCGUAAAGCUCUGUCAGGUGGAGAGAAGUGUAUAGAAGUUAAUAGCUUUUAUACUUGACGGUACCGCCAAAGGAAGCACCGGCAAACUCCGUGCCAGCAGCCGCGGUAAUACGGGGGGUGCAAGCGUUGUUCGGAAUCAUUGGGCGUAAAGAGCGUGUAGGCGGCGAGAUAAGUCAGAUGUGAAAGCCCUGGGCUCAACUCAGGAAGUGCAUUUGAAACUGUUUUGCUAGAGUAAGGGAGAGGGAAGUGGAAUUCCUGGUGUAGAGGUGAAAUUCGUAGAUAUCAGGAGGAACACCGGUGGCGAAGGCGACUUCCUGGCCCUAUACUGACGCUGAGACGCGAGAGCGUGGGUAGCAAACAGGAUUAGAUACCCUGGUAGUCCACGCCGUAAACGAUGUUCACUAGGUGUUGGGGGUAUUGACCCCCUCAGUGCCGGAGCUAACGCAUUAAGUGAACCGCCUGGGGAGUACGGUCGCAAGACUAAAACUCAAAGGAAUUGACGGGGGCCCGCACAAGCGGUGGAGCAUGUGGUUUAAUUCGAUGCAACGCGAAGAACCUUACCUGGGCUUGACAUCCCAAAUUUCCUGGAAACAGGAGAGUGCCCUUCGGGGAACCCGGUGACAGGUGCUGCAUGGCUGUCGUCAGCUCGUGUCGUGGGAUGUUGGGUUAAGUCCCGCAACGAGCGCAACCCUUGUCUUUAAUUGCCAUCAUUAAGUUGGGCACUUUAAAGAGACUGCCGGUGUUAAGCCGGAGGAAGGUGGGGAUGACGUCAAGUCCUCAUGGCCUUUAUGCCCAGGGCUACACACGUGCUACAAUGGGCGGUACAAAGGGAAGCAAUCUCGCAAGAGUGAGCAAAUCUCAAAAAGCCGUUCUCAGUUCGGAUUGGAGUCUGCAACUCGACUCCAUGAAGUUGGAAUCGCUAGUAAUCACGGAUCAGCAUGCCGUAGUGAAUACGUUCCCGGGCCCUGUACACACCGCCCGUCACACC
rnacentral:rRNA from 1 species